AGAGUUUGAUCCUGGCUCAGGACGAACGCUGGCGGCGCGCCUAACACAUGCAAGUCGAACGAGCGAGAGGAGGCUUACUUUCUCAAGCGAGUGGCGAACGGGUGAGUAACGCGUGAGGAACCUGCCUCAAAGAGGGGGACAACAGUUGGAAACGACUGCUAAUACCGCAUAAGCCCACGACCCGGCAUCGGGUAGAGGGAAAAGGAGCAAUCCGCUUUGAGAUGGCCUCGCGUCCGAUUAGCUAGUUGGUGAGGUAAUGGCCCACCAAGGCGACGAUCGGUAGCCGGACUGAGAGGUUGAACGGCCACAUUGGGACUGAGACACGGCCCAGACUCCUACGGGAGGCAGCAGUGGGGAAUAUUGCACAAUGGGGGAAACCCUGAUGCAGCGACGCCGCGUGGAGGAAGAAGGUCUUCGGAUUGUAAACUCCUGUUGUUGAGGAAGAUAAUGACGGUACUCAACAAGGAAGUGACGGCUAACUACGUGCCAGCAGCCGCGGUAAAACGUAGGUCACAAGCGUUGUCCGGAAUUACUGGGUGUAAAGGGAGCGCAGGCGGGAAGACAAGUUGGAGGUGAAAUCCAUGGGCUCAACCCAUGAACUGCUUUCAAAACUGUUUUUCUUGAGUAGUGCAGAGGUAGGCGGAAUUCCCGGUGUAGCGGUGGAAUGCGUAGAUAUCGGGAGGAACACCAGUGGCGAAGGCGGCCUACUGGGCACCAACUGACGCUGAGGCUCGAAAGUGUGGGUAGCAAACAGGAUUAGAUACCCUGGUAGUCCACACUGUAAACGAUGAUUACUAGGUGUUGGAGGAUUGACCCCUUCAGUGCCGCAGUUAACACAAUAAGUAAUCCACCUGGGGGGUACGACCGCAAGGUUGAAACUCAAAGGAAUUGACGGGGGCCCGCACAAGCAGUGGAGUAUGUGGUUUAAUUCGACGCAACGCGAAGAACCUUACCAAGUCUUGACAUCCUGCGACGGUUCUGGAAACAGAACUUUCCUUCGGGACGCAGAGACAGGUGGUGCAUGGUUGUCGUCAGCUCGUGUCGUGAGAUGUUGGGUUAAGUCCCGCAACGAGCGCAACCCUUAUGGUCAGUUACUACGCAAGAGGACUCUGGCCAGACUGCCGUUGACAAAACGGAGGAAGGUGGGGAUGACGUCAAAUCAUCAUGCCCUUUAUGACUUGGGCUACACACGUACUACAA
rnacentral:rRNA from 1 species